CUGACUAUACUUUCAGGGAUCAUUUCUAUAGUAUGUUAUUAGCUUUUUCUAUAUGUAGAAUCACUUUAUUUGCAAGCGGG
rnacentral:snoRNA from 1 species